rnacentral:lncRNA from 10 species
CCAAGGGAGCGGACGGGCGGGGAGGAGGUGGCCUCUGCGCAGGCGCAGAGAGGAGCGAGCGACUCCUGCGCAAGCGCAGAGUGAAGGGCCGGGAACAGUGGAGGGUGCGAGGAAGACAAUGGGGGAGGACCCUGAGGCGGCCUCUGUGAGCCGACAGGAACACGUGGUCGAUCAGAGAGAGACUCGAGGUUCGUGAACGGAUGGGGAGGACCCUGAAAAGCACUGUGGAAUACAGGUUUCUAGUAACUUCAAAAUCACAUCAUUUGGACUGGAACCCAAAGAUGGGAUCUUCUGAGAACAUCAGAGAAACGCUGCCCUUGGCAUCAUCACUGCAACAAAACAUCAGGAUCUUGAACCUUGGGGUCAUAAUCUCACAACUGAGCAGGGUCACUCUUGGAACUCUACAUCCAUUGAAACCCUUAAGGUAAAGCUAAUCAGGGAAGUUUCUCCCCAGAAGAAGAUGGCAUCCUUGAUGUGAGCAGCUCUUUCUGAAGAUCAUGGAUCAAGACUUCUUACUAUCAUGAGACUCUUAUCUUUGAAUGUUUUUCCGUUGCUUCCGCCUCUGUGAACAACAGAAGUGAGAAGGGGGUCUGUUUUGUGCACUUAUGGGGUAUACUUUUAUUUGUGAAGGGCUUUGCAGCCAGCUUUAUACAUGGAUAAUCUUAUAACUUGAUAGAUAAAGAUGAAGGCCCAGUGUAUCAUAGGUGAGAAACUUCAAUGGUACAUAUGGUGCCUCAUAAUCAUUCAGAAGCAGAACAUUGGUUCACUCCUCUUAACCCACAGCAUGGGUUAAAGAGACCAUUGCCAAGAGGCCUUCCCUCUUCUAGAAGGGCAUCAUUUGUUAGGUCCUUUUUCCAUGGUUUGGAAUUAAAAAGGCAAUGACUAGAAACAUAUCCCUCAUGGUAGACUCUGUAGCAGAUUCUACUGUAAAGGCUACACAACAGAUGUUAAAUUCUCUUGUGAAAGUUAUGCUAAAAAAUAGAAUUGGCUAAACAGGAAAGUACCUGUGCAGAUGCUGGCACUUAAGGCCUAUGGAGAAAACAUCAGGUGUUAUAGAGAGUCUGUUGUAGGGAAUUAACGAAAAGACCACUGAGUUAAGUCAAAGAAUGGUCUAUUUGAGUUUAGGUGGUCUGGUUUAUGGGGACCCUGGCUAAGGAGCAUACUCCAAAUUCUUGGUGUUAACCCUCUCAGUAGUCAUAAGAAUAGUCUCCCUGGUGCACUGUAUUCUCUCAAAGGUUUUAAAUGUUUGCAUGAAGCCAUCUUUAGAACGUCAGAUGGUCUCUCUUCAACUGGAAUGACAAGAGCUGAAAGAAAUGUGUGACCACGAGGACACCGAAACCGAUGAGUGACAUGCUGAGACUGGAAAUCCAAAAUGAUAGUAACGGAGAGUGGCGCUAACAUCCUAAGUUUUGGUCACACUCUUGCCUAAGUGACAACCUGACAAAGGGGGAAUUUUUUAAACAAAAUGAUGGGAGGCCAUUGUUUUGGACUGAGCACUAGGUCCCAACAGACCAAACCGAACCAAAAUGGCAUCAUUCGUGCUAAAUGUGACAUAAUCGAAUUAAGACUUUAAGGAAACACAUGGGUCCUAGAAUAGACCAGGUUUUGUUUUUCUCUUGCAAACAGGACUUUCCAGCAUAAGGUGGUAUCCUCAACUCAGUCCUUGUUCCUACCUUUGCAAAACUCACUGUUCUGCUUCCUAGUGGGUUUCAAGACCAAUGGUGACAGUGACAUCAAUAACUCAAGUUUCGAUCAAUCUCUCAAAACUGAUAAAAUGACCAAAAAGGGGGAAUUGUUAAAGCGAACUAAAUAUGGCCUGAGAAGGACUCCGUACUUCUGUAUUGGAGUCCCUGUGAACAAACUGAGCCUAACUUAAUAGGUAGACAAGAUUGAAAACCUAAAUUAGGAGUAUGUACCUGUCACAAUUGCUGAGUCUCGGCCAGUCCCAGCAGCCGUACUUCAAUCACUCAUACACUGCUGAAUGUUCAAACUGUGUGUAAAUAAGGCAAAUGCCAACCUGUAACUAAUCCAGGUGUUUCUCUACCUCACUUCCCUUUUUUUGUCUAUAAAUCUUCCACCACGUGGCUGCACUGGAGUCUCUCUGAAUCUGCUGUAAUUCUGGGGGCUGCCCGAUGUGCAAAUCAUUCAUUGCUCAAUUAAACUCCUUUAAAUUUAAUUCAGCUGAAGUUUUCUUUUAACAAGAGUGAGAUAAGAAUCUGUGUUCUUAUCCCCCAGAAUGGACAAAUCAGUAGCGUUCCUUGUCAUUCUUUUGUGGCUGGUUUCACGUAAAUAUUUUGUGUGUAUGAUAAUAGAAUUUGAUUUUAAUGAAUAUACUUUAAAAGCAACUUUUUUUUUAUUCUUCCUCACCAUCGAAGAUGGAGAAAAAUAAGAAGGGCUGUCUUGCGGUUCCAUUUCUUUUGUGGAUAGUAAGAAGCGCUGUCUUCUGGUUCCGUUUUUUUUUUCUGGAUAGUAAGGAUGUUUAUCUUACUCUGUCUUCAUUGUCCUCAAACCUCAAGUAGUCACUAAUACCCUGGCUAUGACAGCUUUUAUCGUAGUGUUAAAUGGCAGAUUUAUUUACUUGGCAAACAUUGUCAAGUCUCAGAAAAAUUACCCCAUGGUCUUGCCUUCUUCCCUCGUGAAUUGCCUUCCACUGAUGGAGAGGAUUUGAUCUGUUCCCUGCUCAUCAAUUUUUCUAGCUUCUUUGGGAUGUCCGCUCUGCAUAUCUACUAAGGAAUUAAGAAAUAAUGGCUUCAGCAAGAAACAAGGCAGGAAAGUGCAGUGACAUGAGGACCAUACAGGGAAGGAGCUGUCCCCAAAGCACGAUGAGCCACUUGAGGCCAGGUACAGCCAUGGCGUGUAUCCCAGAGCACCUGUGAGAAUGUCUCACAGACAGUCCGUCUCUCCUGAAUAUGAAGGGAUGGGCACCAGCCGGAGCCACCAUCCGUGUGACUGGCCCGUGGCCGCCUCCAGCUCACACAGAACCUCUGCACGCAACGGAAAAAGGUCUCCCCUGGGUGAAUGGGGUGGGAAACGUGUGCCCCUCCAGGCGGCUGGUGAGCAGAGUGCUCCCCUCGGCAGGGUGUGACUUGUACAGCUCCACCACGGGCCCUGUAACAAGACAGGCUUCGACCCUGCCCUCUUGCAGCUCGUAUGUAUGAGGGGCAGCCCAAUAAAUAAAUAAGCAAAU